rnacentral:lncRNA from 1 species
GGUCGGCUCGCCGGGCGAGGACUUUGAUCUGGUGUUCUCCGCCAUGUGCGAGGGCAAGCUGAUCGAUCCUUUGCUGGAGUGCUUGAGGGACUGGGAUGGUGCUCCGCUUCCCAUCUGUUAGAAACUUUUCCAAAUCCUGAAGACUGCCUCAUAAUUUAACUUGCCCUAAUCUUGGUAUGUACUUAGAGAGUUUUUCAUGGUCGAGAAACUGCGGUUAAAAUUGUAAUGUCUCUUAUGUCUUUUGUUCAGUUCUUUCUUAUUCAAACACCCCCCCCCCCUCGAUGUAUAUUUGUACUUGGAACUUCAUCGGUGUAACAACAAUGUUGAAACACGUGAAGGAAUACAACAUACAUUGCGUUACAUUUUCGUUCUUAUAAAGGAUCGCGACAUUUACUCUGCAUUGUGAGUUAAUUGUUAUUGGGUACAUCUUAUUGUAUCUCCCAACUUGAACCUACCAAACGUAAAAUCAGAAUGAACAUGUAUUUCUUAAAGGGAGCUACCCUCAUUAGAAAUUAAGUGGGUUGCGUAUUAAGAAUCAAUAUUAUAUUUAAGUUCAUGAAAAGGAACACGUUUAUAUGAAAAGACAUUCAGAUAAUAUAUGCAUCAUUAUUGAUUCAGUCUACAUUAUUCUAAUUAAAUGAAUGCAUAUUAUUUCAAGGCUCCACAUGUAUAAAAAAGUUAGAGGUUGCUCAUCUUUGCUUAGGCCUAGAAUGAUGCCCGACCAACCUCUUUGCCAUGACUUUUGGAAGAGGUUGACCUACCGAGCAUGAAUUUCUUUGUGGGUUGGCCCGAAAAGGCAAUAAAUCAUUUGGGAUGGGACAUAUAUUCCAAAUUGAGUGGUUGCCUCCAGAGCAGGAUAACUCUAUGAUUGGCAAAUAUGGGGCCCCGUUCCUAGAAAAAUAUCACAACUUUGGAUUUUCCUCGAUGCACUUGGCCUAAUCCAUGAGGAGGUUUCUGCCCAAAAUGGUAACCUGGCUAGCAAAACCGAAGUGUCACAUGGAUCUAUUUAGGACAUGUCACGGUCGAUUCCCAGUGUUCGAACCUCAAAAUUAUGGCCCCAAACCCACACUACCUUCUAUGCCAAACCAUAACUGAUGGAGUUUGUAUCAAACUUAACCUCGCGCAAUUUGUGUAAUCGAUAGAUUGAUAAGGAUGUUAGGUCGGCCACCAUAUCAUGUGAUGGCGGAUUCUGUUCAAGUUUAGCUGAACCUCGCUGGUUCAAAGGUGGUACAGUCCCACUUUUUAGUCUCUAAUAAGCUGUCGAAAGCACAAGCAUGGAUACCUUCGAUCUUCCCACUCAAUUUGAGGUCCAUAUACGAGAUUGAAUGUGGAGAAAUGGGUGCGUAUCUGGUAUCACUGAAUUCUCUGAGUCACUGACAGACUCCAUCAUUUGGUUACCUCUUUUUUGUGGAAAGUUCCCUUCUGUAGCAUUAGUGCAGAAGAGCAGACAGUUUCAGCUCCCUGGGGACAAGUUGUCUAGGGCAGAUAAGACAGAAAGUGGAAGAUCCCCGUUUGGACACGUCACUCCAAUGUAAAACAGCCAACGGAUUUCCUAGACAUGGGCAACAAUCAUUCCUAAUCCUCAAAGUGGUCGGAUGUCAAUGCGUCUGUCUCUCUCUCUAUCUCACACGGCGCUUUCAAUAUGUCUUGCUUCAUGUCUUCGAACUUGGGUUUGCCUGGCCGGUGAUCUCAACCAUAUGGGGAAGCAUAUAGCUCGCUCUUCUUCUGCUCGAUUGACCUCUUUCGAAUGUGAAUUCUGGGUUUGUCUCUCCCUCUGGAGAUCGAUGGACACACGCAUCGAUCAAAGCGGGUGAGUGAACUUUGACAUGUUCUUACUCUUUCGCUUUCUAAACAAUUUUGGUUAGGGAUAGCGAAAGAUCGUGAUUCUAAUGUUGUUUUUCCGAACAGGCCUCUCUAUAUGUGUUGACAAUAGCCCUAUAUUUUGGAAUAAUAUGAUAAAUGCAAGCAAUAAAGAGAUUGAUUUUACAUUCUAUGUUCAUGGGAUGUCGAGUUUUCUUUGUGACGACAAAUCACUUUAUAAAAUAUAUAUAUAUAUAUAACCAUAGCAAAAUUCAACUAUCUCGUAAUCAAGGAGUAACCUGAGAAUUUAUCCAUCAAUUCAAAAACUACCAUUCCCUUCACGUGCCAAACAAGAUAUAAAAGAUGCCUAAGCCGUAGCAACUGCCCGAAGUACAAAUAACCAGAAACCAUAGAGUGAAGAUCAAUUAUUUGCCUUCAUUAGCCAUUACAUUGUCCCUUCGAACUUGUAAAUCUCCCCUUUUUGCCUAAUACGCUAAUCAAUCCACAAAACGUUAUCAAGUAAGUGUUGGAGAAAUUUUCUUGAAGUGUUUUGAAGCUGACAAAACGUUUCCAUCAGUCUAGUCUGAAGGCUUGCAGACUCUGCUAUUUAAAGUCUGAAGACCUCCGGACAGCCAGACUCAAGACUCAAAGUCUAUCCUCAUUGACAGUCUCUAAUCCGUUAAAGAAAGGUUAUCCAGAACUGGAUGUUUCGUUAAGGAUUUAAUCUUAUCAACUGGAGAAGAUCUCGUGGCUGGAAAAGACAUAACGGAGUCCUUUGAUUGAUCGAAGAUUGACUCGAUAAUUGAAGAUCCGGUGAUUACCUAAAUAUUAUUGGAAGGUUCUACUUAUGGAAACCGAGAUCCUGAUUGUAUGGGCGAACAUGAUUGAUGGGCUAUCGACACGUUCCUUUAAUAGCUCGGAUAAUCUUCCUAAUUGAUUCCGUCCAACGGGUAGAUUGGAGGAAUUCUUUUGGUAAGUGCCAACGGGUAUGAUGGCAUAAAAGAGUAUAUAAGGAAGACGUUCUAAGUUGUUGAGGUGUGCGCGAUAGAAGAAUUCCAAAGUCUGAAGCUCCUUUUUAUUUAGACAAUUCCUUUGAGCGAAUACUUGUAUACAAAAGAGAGUCUAUAUUUGUGAGAAAUCUUGAGGAGGUGUGGUAGAACAUCCACACUGUGGAAUCAAGGCAAAGCUGUGCUGUAACUUCUCUUUUGUUCAUAAGUGAAAUCCAGCCGGUGGGCUGUCAGUGCGGAAGAGUGGACGUAGGUUUGGAAUAAGCCGAACCACUAUAAACCCUGUGUUCAAUUUUCUCUUCCUUGCUCUCUUUACCUUGAUCGUAUUUCAUUUUGUUAAUCAAAAAAGAAUUUCCUUUCUAUCGUUUGCCAAGAAUCGCUUCCAUAUCUCGAUAAAUUGUUUGUGCACCUAUUCACCCCCCUCUAGGUGCUUAUACUAGCUAUCUCAGUAAGGACCUGUAAAAUCAAGUGCUGUAGGCCUGAAAGAUUCAUUUGCUGACAGCAUUCUAUGCAAGUUAAGAACUAACUCAGGGAGGAAUGGUUGAGGAAGCUUCAUUUGCUAAGUACGUCAAGGUAUUCAUGUACUGCGUAUAGCACACCAAAAGCAAAACUCAUUGGUAGAGCAACAUAUAUGGAGAGAGAACCCAUAUAAAUAUGUGUGUCCUCCAAUCCACCUACACGGGCACACACUUGGGUUACAUAGAGAUGGAAGGACAAGCCCAGCGUUCGAAAGAAAAGGAACAUUUUGACAUUGUUAUGGCAGUCAAACAAAGUCUUGCGAGCAAUUAAGUAGUAAGCAAGCAUCCAAAACUAAAUAUAUCAGAAGCACACCCAGCUGAAGCCGUUUUGCACCAGACCACUUUAGGAGCAGUGCAAUUGAGUGAUGGCUGCAAAAGACAGUACAUAAUCCUCAAGAUCAUAUUCCUGCACGAUCAUUACAAAAGCUGGCAUAAGUAACCAAACUGCCAUCAUACUAAUAUCCGCAAUAACAUGCUGAACAAAAUGUGAGAAUUGUGCCACACAAUACUGUCAUGACUUGCAUACAAGAGAAUUUUCAGUCUAUUUCCACAGUUUAACAUCACUAAGUACUAGAUCAAGAAUGGUUGGGAUAGCAAGAGAACAAGAAUCGAGUAGGGAGAAACUACAAAAACACAAUCAGUCACCAACUUGAAGUCAGGAUGAGUAAAAUCAUCGUGAAUAAAGGAAAAUGAUAAGUAACUUUCACCAACCUCUAUUGUGAGAUCAAAAUAUGAAAAGGAAUGUGCAACGGUUAUGUCCCAAAGAAUGGAGAGAUGAAAACAAAGUCGGUUUCCUUCACUCAUCAUCUUAUUGAGUUAUCCACACACAGAAUAAUGAAAAAGUUGCAGACUAGAUAAAUCCACGGUGGCCUGAUCUGAGGAAAUGGCAAAACCAAAUCCACAAGCUUCCAAGAUCCACUUGAUGUAAUAAGCACAUUCUGCAAAAAGAUGUUCCGACAAUUACUUAUGCAUGUCCAAAUACCCAUAUGCUCUUCUUAAAUCCCGAAUUUAAGAGUGAAACAACAUAAUUUUACUUAAAAGGGUAGAAACACCACCCAAUAAAGGGAAAGACAAAGUUAUCUUCUUUUAAGAGUGAAACAACUUAAUUUAGAAAUUACCAACUUAUUUGGAGCUUGCAAAUUCCUAAAUUUUGUACAAAAUUAUCUCCUUUUAUUUGCAUAUUUUACUAAGGGAAAAUUUUAAAAAGGGACUCGAAGUACCAUCUUUUCCUCAAAUAAGGGUCCAAAGAGGAUAUUGUUUCAAAUAAGGACUGAAAGUGAAUAUUGUUUAAAAUAAUGAUCUAAAGCAGUUACGUUUUUUUUCUUUUUUGGUGACCCGGGAAUCACCAUACAACUGGCAACCAGUGGCGUAAAUCCGAGGUGGACUGAGCCACCACCACAGACCCAGCCGCGGGUGAGUCACGCGAAUGCGACGCCUCUGGGAUUCGAACUCCUUCCCUUCAUGAGGGGGAGAGAGCCCGAAGCCAGCUACACCACCGCGGGCGGUGGUAUCUAAAGCGGUUAUGUUUGUUUCAAAUAAGGAUUUAAAAUGGCUAUAUCGGUUUCUAAUAACUUUUCGGCAAUCACGGUAUUUUCGUCAUUUGUCAUUUUUCCUCUUUUUUUUUUCUUUUUUCUUCUGGUUCUUCUUCUUCCUCUUCGCCGGCGAAGAGGAAGAAGCAGAACCAAAAAAAUAAAAGAAAGGAAAAAAGGGAAAAAUGCCAAAUGACGAACUGAUUGGAAAACGAAGAGGAAGAAGCAGAACCAAAAAAAUAAAAGAAAGGAAAAAAGGGAAAAAUGCCAAAUGACGAACUGAUUGGAAAAUUUAGCGGGUUGGUGAUCGGCAAAGUUAGGUCAUUAUUUGAAAUAACCAAAGCCAUUUCAGGCCUUUAUUUGAAAUAAUCAAGGCAAUUUCAAAUCUUUAUUUGAAAUAAAAUCCACUUUGGGCUCUUAUUUGAAAAAAUAAGGACACUUUGGCUCCUUUUUAAAAAAUUUCCCUUUUACUAAUGCUUUGAAUUCGCUAACUAUUUUAUAAAAUUCAUAAGCUAAAUUAGUAUUAUUUACUAAAUUUUGUCCAAUUAAAAUUUUUAGUUUUGAUUUACCAACUAUCUUUGAAUUAUUUACGAAUAUUUAAUUUUUUUUAAUCUACCAAUUGUCUUGUUAAAGUUACCAAGUGUGUUUGUCUUGGAGCUAUUUUUUUUUUUUAAAUUUAAAAGACUCAUUCAAAAAUUACCAAUCAAAAUUAGCUUGAUUUACAAGUUUUCUUCCAUUAAAUUAUCAAAUAGUAUUGAGUGCCUACUUUCAUUUGAAUUACUUACCACACUCUAGUUGUUUAAAUUCUCAAUUUGCCUAAUUUUCUUAUCGUUUCUAAACUUUGCUUUUCCUAGCAACUCUUGUGAUUUACCGACUCCUUUUUCAAAUAUUAUCACUAACCUAAUUAAAGUGACAUAACAACUUCUCUUUGAUUAAAUUAUCGGCUAGUCUUGGAUUGCCAACUCUCAUUCGAGUUACUUACGGCAUUUUAUCUUUCCUAACUCCUCCAUACAUAUUUAUCCAAAACAUGCGACAUUAUCAUACGCAAUCACAUCUUUUUCCAUCGAUCUUUUUCAUACAAAAUAUGCGGGACUUCUUGAGCUCCCGAUUAAUCUUCAUUAAAUGAGCUAGUUAUCUCAACUCAAAUAGUGCUUGAUGGUACAUUAUUGUACGUUUAUACACCUGACCAUCAUCUUGAUAGGAUAAGCUUUUGCUAACAAAAUUGCCAAAUAUACAGAUUAGGUAUCAGUUUGGCCAUGGUUUGAUUAAGUCCAGGUAAUUAGCUGCACUUUUGGAUGACUCCGGGUUCGAGACUCCAGCUACCAAAUCAAGACUCGAAAAAAAACAAGAGAUUAGUCGAUUUAACCAUUUUAUUUAAAAAGAUGCUAUUUCCACUUUAUUUUACGAUUUUAAUACCUCUUCUUUUUUCUUGCAAGUUACUUCUCCGAUAUGGGCUUCUAGACGAAGAAGGGUUUGACGUGCAUAUAGUCUAACUUGAUCCGGAUUUUCUUGAUAUAUUAAGUAUAAAUCUACAAGUAAGUACCUAAAAUACAUAUCUAAUAAAGCACAUAAACUCCCAUUUUCUUCUGGACUUAUCAAGAAACCUGAUGGAUGGAGACACCCUUUCGAUUCUUCCAAGGUUGCAACUUGUUGAGGGACAAAAUAAAUUCACAAUUAAAUUCCCAACAUUAGGAACUCGUUGAUAAUACUAGCAUGUACACGUGCAUAUUAGUCAAAAGUCUAGAAAACCUUCCCUUGUUUAUAGGUUAGCUCCAGAUAAAGGUCGAUCUAAAUAAACCCAGGUUGAAGAAUUCAAGAAUAAUUUAAUCUUGAAAAAAAGCAAAACCCAAAACCUCGUCCAUACAUACAUACAUACAUACAUACAUACAUACAUACAUACAUACAUACAUACAUAUAUAUAGAUACACACAUAUAAAAGAUACACUUAAGAAUUUCGAGGUUCUUGUUUUAGUUGGUUGAAGUAGUGAUUAGCUUUUAGUCUUUUUAAGUAAAGACUAUGAAAUGCAGAGAAGGAAUUGGGACUUGGGAUUAGAUGCCUCCUCCACCUGGUAUCUUGUAUCUACGUAUUGAAAAUUCUAAUAGGACAUCGAAGUUGGAGUGUUAAAAGUAUAUCUCACAUAACUUAGCUACCGGAUUUAUAACGAAGUUAUUUACAUCAAUAAAUUUACUAAUAGUUUAAGAUGCAUCUUCUAGGAAUACAAAAAUCUAUUGUCUUGUGUUCAAUUCUACGAAAUCUUUCUAUCAUAGUGGCAAAUUUAAACACCGUUCGCUAGUGAAAACAAUGGUCAUAGAUUUUUUUUUUUUUUUUAAGUAAGGUGUUGGUAAAUUUAUCAACAGCUUUAUGAAAUUGCCAACUUAUUUAGAGUUUGCAAAUUUACAAAUUUUGUACAAACUUAUCUAUUUUUAUUUGUAUAUCUUGCUAAUGCUUUGAAUUCACUAAUCUUUUUUUAAAAAUGAAAUUGAUAACUUAAAUUAGUGUGAUUUACUAAUUUGUCAAAUUAAGUUUUUAAAUUUUGGUUUACCAACUCUCUGCGAAUUAUUUACCAACAUUUAAUUUUAUUUAAUCCUCCAAAUUUCCCGUUAAAGUUACCAACUUGUAUUACUUUUUACCACCUUUUAUGUAUCUUUCCUAACUCAUCCAAUAUAUGUUUUCUGCGCAACAUGUGACGAAGACGUGAUCAUACGCAAUCACAUCUUUUUCCGUCGAUCUUUUUCAGACAAAACACACAAGACUUCUUGGGCUCUCAAUUAAUCUCUACUAUAAGAGCUAGUCAUCCCGACUCAAAUAGUGAAGGUCCACAGUAACAUUAUAGGCUCAUGCUCCCUAACACAAUUGCUGGCUGAAUCCAUGAAUUAUGUAUCGGUUUGGCCAUGGUUUGAUCAAGUCUUGGUGAUUAGCUGCACGCUGGUCAACUCCAGCUACCGAAACACACAUUAAUUAAUAAGACUCAGGAAAAUAUUCGCGCCCAAUUACUGCUAUCUGUUCAUAGGAUCCGAUCGAAUAUUUGCGUCACCCUUUUUAUGUCGGAUGUAAAUCUCUUAUUGGCUUCACCAACUCGAAGGAACUGCGACCCUUUGUUUUCUCUCGUCUUCUCUUUCUUUUCUUCCCUCGAUUUUCCUUUAUUUUCUCCGGGGUUGGUGGUAAUCGGUAGGCACGACUUUAAUAAAUUCUUUGGCCCAUGUCCGCAUUUAAAAUGUGGUCUGACCGCAUCUGAAUUGAAAAGCUAGCUACCGUCUCCCUAAGAUGACAGACUGGCGAUUUGAUCGAAAGUGGUGGGACAAAAGGGUAAUGAUAUCCAGUCUUUGGAUCGGAUGGAUGGGAUUUAUUAAUCCCCAGCUAAUCCACUUAAUUUAAUUUACUUCGUCUCAAAAUUCGGGGCUGAGUUCUUUGAAAGUUUCCUUGUGAGCACGGACCUGACUCGCACGUGAUUUGCGAAAUGAAGUGGAUCUUUUCAUGCAAUUAGAUACAAACGGCAUUGGAAAAUAUGGUUUUAUAACUUAGUCAAGUAUUAUAGUUACACCAUUACCCAAAUUUCUGAAUAUCUUUUCAUUUUCGGGAAGUAACGAAGAAGGACAUGGCUUGGGAUUUACUCUUUUUGGGUCAACAACUUAACAUAGGAUUUUUGGAACAUGACUUUUCCUUUUAAUACGGUCAACAGAUUCAAAAAUAGGGUCAUUCCUAAAUUGAUUUAAUAAUCAAUUUGGGAAUAUUUAAUCUUUAUAUAUCUUCAUGACCUACUCCCAAAGCAAGGUAGUUAUGUGGGCAUAUUUAAUCUUUAUAUAGCUUCACGACCUACUCCCAAAACAAGGUAGUUUUGUCUUUACCAGCAACUCAUCGAAAUCGCGAUUCCACAACGGAGUUUAGUUUAGGAAUCGAAUUUUCAUUUGACAUUUUAUUUGGUAUGUCCUAUGUUGCUAACAUCCCACAUGGUCAUGGAAUAAGGAAAAAAAAAUUAUGUGAAUGCAGUUUCUUUCUUGGGGAAAAGUCAAAAUAGAAAAAGGAAUCCCAUCGUAAAAUCUUUCUUCAAUAUAUGUGAAGACAAAAAGGUCCUCAUAUACUCUUCCAUUUGAGUUGAAAUUAUCACGCAUGGCACUACAUUGAGAUUUAUAGUUUGUACUGAAUUUUGCGAUUGGAUUGAAUUUUAAUUUUUAUUCAAUUUAAAUUUUAUGGUCCACAAAUGUUGCAUUUUUGUAAUCCCGAAGCGUUCGAGACUUUGACAUUAUAUCUACGAUUUUUUUGGAAUCUAAGUAUUUUAAGUUACGGUGGAAAACAAAGGAUAAAAUUUUCUUUUNNNNNNNNNNNNNNNNNNNNNNNNNNNNNNNNNNNNNNNNNNNNNNNNNNNNNNNNNNNNNNNNNNNNNNNNNNNNNNNNNNNNNNNNNNNNNNNNNNNNAAUUUAGUUUACAAGUGAAAAAUAGAAAUUGUUCAGCACGCUUGUCUCUUGCUAUCAUUGAAGUGUUUAGUGUCAUGCGAAAUAUAAGCAAUUUAUUAAUUAUUAAGUGUUCUAAAGGGUCAAUACAUGUGAGGUUAAUGAAUUAUCGAGAUAUUGAAAGUAUAGUCAAUUGUAAUCAAGAGGCAAAUGUCUUCAAUGCUUCGAUUGUCUUUGUGUUCUAUGAAAAAAAGCAAGGAAGAAUAAGGAAAAACGUAGGAAAUUUUUUGUAUAUUCUAUUUUGUAUAUCAAAUAGUGUACAAUGCUGUACAAUUAUAUCACUAGGCAUGUACAAGAAAAAGGAAAUAAAGAAUAUUACAAAAUCAAUUUCGAUAUUAGACUGAUAUUAAUUGAUCUGGCAUAUCAAUCUAAAUCCUAAAGAAUAUUGCACAAGAUCGCAUAUCUUCCAACAUUUCCCCUUAAACUGGUGGCUUGUAGAUGUCAAAGACACUUAGCUUGCUUAGUAGAUAUGCGUGUUGUCUCUGACAUAGAGGUUUGGUGAAGACAUCUGCAGGUUGUUCUGUAGUCCCAAUUCCUCUUGUUUCGAUUACCUCCUCUUGAAUCUUCUCUCAGGUGAAGUGACAGUCCACUUCUAUGGGCUUUGUUCUUUCGUGCACUAUAGGAUUGGACGCAAGUUUUGUUAUGUCGUUGUCACAAAACAACAUGCUGGGUCCCUUUGUUUGCACCCCAAGGUCCUGAAGCAAGCCUCACAGCCACACUAUUUCACAAGUGGUCUUCGCCAUAGCUCGAUAUUCAGCCUCUAUUGAAGAUAAAGACAUGGUUGGCUGCUUCUUCGUCUUCCAAGAAAGUAAAAUUUUCCCAGCAUGAUACGGAAUCCUAUAAUUGAUCUCCUGCUCAUCGGACAAGUUGCUUAAUCAGCGUCACAAUAAGUUGUCAUCUCCAUGUUGCAUCUUUUUUAAAGAAGAAUUCCAAGUCCUAGACAUUUCUUCAAAUACUUAACAACCUUUAGAGCGUGUGGGACUGCUUUGACUUGUGCAUAAACCGACUGAGUGUCUGCACAUCAUAACAUAUAUCUGGUUUAGUCAUGGUAAAAUAUAUGAGCUUUCCUACCAGCCUUUGAUAACCUGAUGGGUCUCUGUAUCAUCUUGGAGAUUUCUUUCAUCACGGUCCACCGUAGUUAACUUGACAUUUUGUUCGAUUGGAAUAGCUGCCAAUUUGCUUCCCGAUAAACCUGCUUCUGAUAUGAUCUCUAGCACGAAUUUUCGUUGAAUGAUGGAAAUCCCUUGAUUUGAUCGAGCAAUUUCUAUUCUUAGAAAAUAUUUGGGUGAUCCCAAGUCCUUUAUGUGAAAUGUCGAAUGCAGGUAUUCCUUGAAGCUCUUUAUGACAAUUGCAUCUACCCAUAAUAAGUAUAUCAUCAAUGUAUAUCAUUAAAAAUAUGGAUGACAUACCUUUUGUCCAUGUAAAAAUAGCGUAGUGAUAUUUAGACCGUUUGAAACUUGUUGCUGUGAGAGCAUUCGCGAACUUGGCAUACCAUUGCCUAGAUGCUUGUUUGAGACCAUAAAGGGAUUUGCGGAGACGACAUACUUUGUUCUCCCCCUGUCUCCAUAAACCCUGAGGAAGUUUCAUAUAAAUUUCUUCAUCCAAAUCACCAUGGAGAAAUGUAUUGUGGACAUCCAUUUGGUGUAAUGACCAAUCUUGGGAAGCCGUAACCGAUAGGAAGGAGUGAACCGUGACAUCUUUGGCCACUGGAGAGAAGGUCUCGUGAUAGUCGAAUCAUUCUCACUGUGUAAACCCUUUGGCCACGAAUCGAGCUUUACAUCGUUCAAUCAAUCCAUCUACUCGAAACUUUAUCUUGUAAACCCAUUUACAUCCUAUUGCCUUACGAUUAGUAGGUAAAGUCACAAGAUCCCAUGUAUGGUUGUCAUUUAAUGCUUGUAAUUCUGCUGGCAUGGCCUUUUGCCAGUGUGGAUCCAUGGAUGCUUCAUCAUAACUAGCUGGUUCCCUUUCUUCAGAUAUGCAACUAAUACAUUGUCUAUGUUCUGGAGACAAUUGAUUGAAAGAGACAUAGGACGAGAUAGGAUAAUGAAUACCUAGUGAGUUGUGUGUGGCACAAAUAUAAUCCUUAGUCCAAGUUGGUGGGCAUGUGAUGCACCCUGAAUGUCGAGGAGGAUUUGGACGUGAUGGUAGAGGCUCUUCCAUAGGUGGUGCCGUCAUGAGUUUGGAGCUUCUUCAGUAGUUGCAUCCUCAGAUCUUGGAGAAAUUUCCUCAGCAGUAGUCCAAUUGCUUGUGGAAGCACUGUUGAAGGUUCCUGGAUUUCCUAUCACAACAUAAUCAAGAUCCUUGGAUAUAUCGUCUUCAGGGAAAAUAACUCGAGAAGGAUUGAGAUCGUUUUCUUUUGAGGAUUGAUCUUCAGCAAAUGGAAACAUGUCCUCAUGGAAGACUACAUCUCUACUUAUGAGGAAUUCUCUUGUAGAGGGUUGAAACACACGAUACCCCUUCUGAAGAUUUGGAUAUUCCAUAAAUAUGCACGGUUGGGCACGAAGACUCAUUUUGUUCGGAGGGCCUGUCGCAAUGACGUUGCAUAAACACCCAAAAAUUCUUAGGUGAUCCAUUUUUGGUUUCUUUCGAAAAAGGACUUCGAAAGGGCUUCGACCGUUCAACACUUUCGUUGGCAUCCAAUUAAUUAAGUACACUGCCGUGAUCAUGCAUUCUGCCCAAAAAUUAUUUGGAAUAGAGGCCUGAAACUUCAAGGCACGUGCCACUUCCAGAAUAUGUCGAUGCUUUCUUUCAACUACUCCAUUUUGUUGUGGAGUGUAUGUGCACGAACUUUCAUGCAAGAUGCCAUAGGAUGAAAAUAUUGAUGCGCAUUCAUGGUUGAAAAAUUCUCUUCCAUUAUCUAUCCUAAUCCGCUGGAUAGAUUUUCCAAAUUGGGUCUUUGAUAAAGAGAUAAAUUCCUUUAAGUGAGAUAGAACUUGACCCUUAGUUUGCAAGAGGAAGAUCCAUGUUGCUCGAGAAUGAUCAUCAACAAUAGUAAGAAAAUAUUUUGAUCCAUCAUGAUUAGGUGUAUGAUACGGUCCCCAUACAUCAGCAUGAAUUAGCGAGAAAGCACUAGUGGAACGACUCAUGCUAACUGGAAAGGGUGCACGUAAUUGUUUUGUAAGUGGGCAGAUAUGACACUGAGAGUAAGGAAAUAAAGCACCGUGGCCCAUUCUAGAAUGCAAAAGGAAAUUUUUAUCAUUGGUAGUGACAUUACGCAAUGAUUGUUUAUUGAAGGAAACUUGAGAUAAAUAUAAAGUUCUUGGAAUGCUAGUCCAAAAAAAUAGUCCGUCGGAAAGAUUACCCAAACCCAUCAGUUUCAUGUCGAAAGGGCCUGAAAGAAACAGAUAUCGGCAUUGAAGAAAAUACAACAAGAGUUUUCCUUGCAGCUCUAGACACAAAAAUCAGAUUGAACUGGAAAUCUGGAACAUAGAAGACAUUUCUCAGUGUUAUUUGAGGGCUAAGGUUCACAAUUCCUAUAGUGGUCACAUAGGUAAUGCUUCCAUUUGGCAAUCUUACAGAAACAGGAAUACUUAAAUUUUCAUGAAUAAUGGAAAAGAAGCCUUUAUCACAAACAAUAUGAUCAUUAGCCUCUGAGUCAAUCAUCCAAGAAUUUCGGGAAAUAGAGUAUUAGGCAAUGAGAAAUACCUGAGAAGCUACUUCCUUUGUUGGAAAUGUCCAUUUUUUGCAAUGCCUUUAUAAACUGCUGAUACUACCCUUGAGUGAUAGGCUGAUCAUUAUUUGAACCUAAGGUCUGAUAAGCUGCUACUGAAGAUUCCUUCCCCCAUUUUCCUUUUUCACCGGGCUUGUAGUGCAAUUUCUAGCAAUUAUUAAUGGUGUGGUGGGGUCGCUUGCAGUAUUCACAAAAUAACUUAUUUUCCCUUUUAUAUUUGGCCCAUAUGCCUUUGAACUCGUGGAAAAAUGUGGACCGUUGGAUCCUUUAAAAAUAGCCACGUGCCCACCGUCCGAUCAUGAUGAGGAAUUGGGCCCUUUCCGGUCGUUUGAUUGCGCCUCACAAUCUGGACCGUCCAUUUCAGACACUUUAAAAGCAUUUGAAGUUGUCCCAAACCCUAGCUCUUCUAGCCGCAUGCCCUGUUUUGGAGUCUUCUGGUUUUGGUCUCCCUUCUCACCGCGAGUAGCCAAGGCCAGCAACUCUACUCCUCUCGCAUGCUCCGUUGCCAUGAGUCUCUGACUCUCUUCUUAGAUGGCCAACUGGAAAAUACAGUUGAGCGAUGGCAUGGGUUCCAUGGCUAAGAUUUGAGAUCUGAAUGUCAGCUAAGAGUCGUUUAAAAUGAGCAAGAAACGGGUAACUUUCUCUCUGUCUCGUAUUGCUUUGUACUGCUACAAAGUGGCCUCAGGCCAUUUGAGUUUCUCCUUUGCUGCCUCCAACUUAUUCCAGAGAGCUGAUAACUUAUUAAAAACCAUUGUGAUGCUCAUAUUCCCCUGUUUUAGUUCGGAAAGUGCUUGGGUCAAGGAAAAAAAUUUGCACAGUCCAAUUUUCCAUACAUUUCUCAUAUAGUGUCCCACGUCCUUUUCAAAUCUUUUGUGGGAGUAAGUCUGGUUGCAAUUUCUGGAUUGAUGCAGUUCCCAAUCCACUUUCUUACUAGUUUAUUACACUUCUUCCAUUGUCUCGCCAUCCUCUCGUCUGUCGGAAUGGGAGUAGAUCCAUCAAUAAAUCCCUCUUUAUCUUUAGUAACAAGGGCUUGACGAAAUUCUUGAGCCCAGAUUGAGUAGUUAUGAGAUCCCCUUAGUUGUUGACUGAUGAGUCGUAUCUUCGGUCCAUCAGCGGUAGAUACGUACAAUGGAUCACCGAGUUCUGGCUGAUCAGAAACGACUGAGAGAGGGUAUGGCAAGAAUCCGGGUCUUAUUGUCGGGUAGGUAUUUGAACCCAUACUUGGAUUAAGCAACCCACUGGAUAAUACCGCAUCUUGAUUUCCAGAUCCAGUAUCUACGCUUGCCCGGUCUAUGGUUGGCGAGCCAUUAUUGGGCUGGACAUUGUCUUCGGAAAUUUGAAUUCCAGGCCAUGGAGUACUUGGGCUUGGCUCGUAGUACCAUGGGCUGGGCUGAACAAGAACGGGUACCCAUUGGUAUGCUUGACCCGCCAUGGCCUGACCUGAUGUGGAUUGGCUUGGAAUGGGUUGCCCCAGACUAAGCUGCCAUGGAAAAAAACCCGCAUUUGGUUGGACUUGGAAUCUAGCGGCUUCAGCAAGCAAGUUCACAGUAGAGUUUUGAGUUUCUUCUUUUGUGAUACGCUUUCUAGUAGAUGGUGGUUGAUCUUCUGCCAUGGUGAUGGUAAGAUGUUCCUUUUCUUCACUUGCUCUUUUUCCUCAGAAAUCGAUUCCUACACCGGAGUGCUAACGUUAUUCUGCUGGUUAGCGUGUUCUUCAAAAAUACCGACAGGCAAUCAAAGAGGAGAGGUGCGGAAGCUGAAAUUGAAUUAGAAGCGAAGCCUGCUCUGAUACCAUGAAAGAAAGCAAGGAAGAACAAGGAAAAAUGUAGGAAAAUGUUUGUAUAUUCUAUUCUAUAUAUCAAAUAGUGUACAAUGCUCUACAAUUAUAUCACUAGGCAUGUACAAGAAAAAGGAAAUAAAGAAUAUUACAAAAUCAAUUAUGAUAUUAGACUGAUAUUAAUUGAUCUGGCAUAUCAAUCUAAAUCCUAAAGAAUAUUACAUAAGAUCGCAUAUCUUCCAACAUUCUAGACAAUUAGUAUCUCGAAAUUGAAUUACACAUAUAAAACAAAUGUCCAUGACUUUCAUUAUGACUUACGUUAAAAAGUACCCGACACAUUUGUUAAGCAAUUUGGAUAAGCAUGGCACCACAUCGAGAUUUAUAGUUUGCAUUGAAUUUUGUUAUUUGAUUGAAUUUUAAUUUUUAUUCAAUUAAAAUUUUACGGUCCACAAAUGUUGAUUUUUUUUUUUAUAAUCUGAAGCGUUCGAGACUUUCACAUUAUAUCUAUGAUUUUUUUUUUUGGAAUCUAAGUAUUUUAAAUUACGAUGGAAAAAAAGGGAAUAGAUUUUUCUUUUAAUUAUUUGCAAAUAAACAAGCUCGUCUUAUUAAUAAAUUACAUCACUUAGAUUACUAGUGAAAAACAUAAAUUCUUCGGCACGCUUGUCCCUCGCUAACAUCGAGCAUCAUGCGAAAUAUAAACAAUUUGUUAAUUAUUAAGUGUUCUAAAGGGUCAAGACAUGCAAGGUUAAUAAAUUAUCGAGAUAUCAAAAGUAUAGUCAAUCGUGAUCAAGUUGCAAAUACUUUCAAUGCUUCGAUUGUCUUUGCAUUCUACACAAUUAGUGUCUCAAAAUUGAAUUACACAUAUAAAAUAGAUGUCCAAGACUUUCAAUAUGACUUAUGUUAAAAAGUACCCGGCGCACUUAAUAAGCAAAUUUAAUAAGAAAAUAUUCUAUUUCGAGAGUAUCAACUGUACGUAUUAAGAAAGAAGUUGGUGCGUAGAAACUUUACUUAUUUUCUUUGUGUUGAAUUGUUCAUCAAAAAAUGUCUUUGGGACCCGCUUUGUGACAUAUCCGUUCCUCUGCUCUGUGGGAGGACCCGCAUUGGUUGGUGCAUUGGUUUGGUUGGUAGGAAUAACAUGUGUUCUCUCCCGAAUGACAUUGUCGGAACCCAUUUCUUAACUUUUGCAAAGACGGAGUGUUUUAUUUAUUGCAAGCUCCACUAGUUUCUGAAAAGACUUGGUGCCCCGGAAUCAAGGACUCCCCAUUCCGCCUCGACGGAAUCCUGAACCCGACUGACCUAGAAUGGACAUAAACACGAUAAUAAUUUCCAUUGGCAUAUGUUAUCGGACUGCACAUUUCAUAAGAAUUGUCAAAAGAAUAUGUCCAAAAUGGAAUGGGUACGAGUAAACGCGACAUAUAUUAAAAAUCAGAGGGUAUGACCAGUUCCUACGCAAAAUGAUGUGAGAUGGAUUGUUUCAAUGAAUUUGGUGAGCACAAUAGUCAAAUAGUGGGGUUGGUGACCGCACGACGCGGGCUCUUGCAAGGCGUGUCAAUACCAUGGAGUCAGAUAAGAUCAUUUUAUAGUCCCACUUGUACUUCAAAAAUACUGAGAAGAGCACAAGUAAUUUGAGCAGAAAAAGUAAUUUAGUGCUAAUUUCUAGGGAUCACAAUUUCAUGGAUUUUUUUUUAAAUCAAUUUUUGGUCUGUGCCCUUAAAAUCAUUUUCCUUUCAAAGAUUAAAGUAAAUUGCCAAAUUGGGAAAUAAACAUUUUACUAAAAAGACAAAAAUAUUGAGUAAAAGAAAUGUCAAAAUGAAACGAAAUAAGCCUAAAAGAAAUCGAUCACUCUUAUCUUUUUUUCCAUUUAACAUCAUCAUUAAAAGAAUUUGUCUUGAUAUUACUUAUUUGAUUCCUCCAAUGAUGCAUUUCCGAGGUCUUCCUUCCCGUGACGUAACCCGAGAGCCAUCCUCAUUGUUCCCCAACUGGGGAGGCCAUUUCUUGUUAGUGCCUGGUGGAACAGGGUCAAUGUGCCUAAUCAUCACUUAAACGACACCAAACACCGGUUCACUCCCUCCCAUGAUUUCCCAAUUCAAAAUCUCCACCCGGUCGGGAAUUUCAAUUCGGAAACCAGCUUUGACCAGUCGACUAACCCGUCAACCUAACCUACUCGACACUCAAUGGCGGGCGGGCCUCUCCUCUAUUUAAACGUCCGAUUUGUAGGUGAACAGACUCAGGAAAUUCACUAGCUUCUUUAGCACAUGUGAAUUUCCUUCAGAGAAAAACACACACAAAAAACGCCACCGCGCUCUUCCUCUCUCUCGCCAAGCCCUCACCUCGAUCUCGCGCUUGCUCGCUCCUCGCUCGAUUUCGACUCCUCUUCUCGGGCUCUCGGCCGCUCUAGACGUUCGCAUUCACACGAGCGCGAAGAUGGACAUGGACACGGCAGCGUGCAACGGCAAGGGCUCCCUCGGGCUCUGCGCGGGGGCAGGCGGUGACCCGCUCAACUGGGGCGUGGCCGCCGCGGCCCUCACGGGGAGCCACCUCGAUGAGGUGAAAAGGAUGGUCGAGGAGUCCCGGCGGCCUGUGGUCCGCCUCGGCGGUGAGACGCUGACCAUCGCACAGGUGGCGGCCAUCGCGGGGCGGGAGGCUGGCAUGGCGGUCGAGCUGUCGGAGGCGGCCCGGGCGGCAGUCAAGGCCAGCAGCGACUGGGUCAUGGAGAGCAUGAGCAACGGCACGGACAGCUACGGGGUCACCACCGGCUUCGGCGCCACCUCGCAUAGGCGGACCAAGCAAGGUGGUGCUCUGCAGACGGAGCUCAUAAGGUAAAAAAAGAAAAAAAAAUGUGCUACUUCGAUAUAUUUCUUUAAAUUCUCAUUCGGUUGUUUUUAUUAACAAAUAUUCGCAGAUAUAUCGAAAAUACUUGUCAGGCAAUCGAUAAUGAAAAAAAAAUGCUGAUUUUAGGAGAUGGGUGCGAUAAUACGUUAUUCGGGAAUUGUAAUUAUCAAGAAGUGCAUAUUUAAAAUAAAAAAAAUCAAGUAAAAUCCUUUGUUUUAAUUUAAAAUUAACACCUGUCAUAUGUGGUAUAAAUGGUCCCUCGUGAAGGGCUGCCAAGUGCUGGCUAAGCUUCCUUUCCAUAAAAGAUAUAUACCCAAACGUGCAAGUAUCAAUCCAAAGGCCGACAUCAAUUUCUCUAUAUUUUUUAAAUAUUAGGUAACCAAAAAUAAUAUGGGAGAAGAUUAAUUAAUUUCGAAGACAACCCGUAAUAAUUACUUUUUGAAUACCUAAUUUUUCAUUUUUUCAAUUAAUGAGACUUACCUUUGCUAUAAUCAAAUAAGUGUCUAAAUCGAUAUUCACAUUUCCUUUGCUAUAAUUAAUAAUAUGUGGUUGACGAAAUUUUCCCAUUGAACCAGGUUCUUAAACGCCGGCAUAUUCGGCAACGGGACCGAGUCGUGCCACGUGCUGCCCCACUCGGCGACCCGGGCCGCGAUGCUCGUGAGGAUCAACACCCUCCUCCAAGGCUACUCAGGCAUCCGGUUUGAGAUCCUGGAGACCAUGGCCAAGCUCCUCAACCGCAACAUCACCCCGUGCCUGCCUCUCAGGGGUACUGUCACGGCCUCAGGCGACCUGGUCCCCUUGUCCUACAUCGCCGGGCUUCUGACGGGCAGGCCCAACUCAAAGGCGGUCGGGCCAAAUGGCGAGUCCCUGAACGCCGUCGAGGCCUUCCGCCUUGCCGGGAUCAAGCACGGGUUCUUUGACCUGCAGCCCAAAGAGGGCCUCGCGAUCGUGAAUGGCACGGCAGUCGGGUCUGGGCUCGCUUCCAUUGUCCUGUUCGAGGCGAACAUCCUGGCCGUCCUCUCAGAGGUUCUGUCGGCGAUCUUCGCCGAGGUGAUGCAAGGGAAGCCGGAGUUCACUGACCACUUGACCCACAAGCUCAAGCACCAUCCCGGACAAAUUGAAGCUGCAGCUAUAAUGGAGCACAUCUUGGAUGGGAGCUCCUACGUGAAGGACGCUCAAAAGGUCCACGAGAUCGACCCUCUCCAGAAGCCGAAGCAGGACCGAUACGCGCUCCGCACGUCCCCGCAGUGGCUCGGCCCCCAGAUCGAAGUGAUCAGGGCCGCCACCAAAAUGAUCGAGAGGGAGAUCAACUCUGUCAACGACAACCCGCUGAUCGAUGUCUCCAGGAACAAGGCUCUCCAUGGAGGGAACUUCCAGGGGACCCCGAUUGGCGUUUCCAUGGACAACACCCGUCUCGCCAUCGCCUCCAUCGGCAAGCUCAUGUUCGCGCAGUUCUCCGAGCUCGUUAACGACUUCUACAACAACGGGCUGCCCUCUAACCUGUCCGGGGGACGGAACCCGAGCCUGGAUUAUGGCUUCAAGGGAGCCGAGAUCGCCAUGGCCUCAUACUGCUCGGAGCUGCAGUUCCUUGCCAACCCUGUGACCAACCAUGUCGAGAGCGCGGAGCAACACAACCAGGACGUGAACUCCUUGGGCCUGAUCUCGUCGAGGAAGACUGCCGAGGCCGUUGACGUGCUGAAGCUCAUGUCCUCCACCUUCCUGGUCGCCCUGUGCCAGGCCAUCGACCUGAGGCACCUGGAAGAGAACCUCAAGAGCGUGGUCAAGAACACGGUGAACCAAGUGGCCAAGAAGGUCCUCUACGUUGGGUCCAACGGCGAGCUCCACCCGUCGCGGUUCAGCGAGAAAGACCUGAUCAAGGUGGUCGACCGGGAGCACGUCUUCGCCUACAUUGAUGACCCCUGCAGCGCCACGUACCCCCUGAUGCAGAAGCUGAGGCAGGUCCUCGUGGACCAUGCACUGGACGACGUCGACCGGGAGAAGAACCCCAGCACCUCCAUCUUCCAGAAGAUUGGGGCUUUCGAGGAGCAGCUCAAGGCACUCCUCCCGAAGGAGGUUGAGAACGCGAGAGCUCAGUUCGAGAGCGGGAACUCGGCGAUCGCUAACAAGAUCAGGGGGUGCAGGUCGUACCCAUUGUACAGGUUCGUGAGGGAAGAGCUCGGGACCGGUUUGCUCACGGGGGAGAAGGUCGGCUCACCGGGCGAGGACUUUGAUCUGGUGUUCUCCGCCAUGUGCGAGGGCAAGCUGAUCGAUCCUUUGCUGGAGUGCUUGAAGGACUGGGAUGGUGCUCCGCUUCCCAUCUGUUAGGAACUUUUCCAAAUCCUGAAGACUGCCUCAUAAUUUAAUUUGCCCUAUUCUUGGUAUGUACUUAGAGAGUUUUUCAUGGUCGAGAAACUGCGGUUAAAAUUGUAAUGUCU